rnacentral:rRNA from 1 species
AACGCGAAGAACCUUACCUACGUUGAACUACGCAGGAAAAGCCGUGGAGACACGGUGUCCGAAAGGGCCUGCGAUAGGUGGUGCAUGGCUGUCGUCAGCUCGUGUCGUGAGAUGUUGGGUUAAGUCCCGUAACGAGCGCAACCCUUGUCCUUAGUUGCCAGCACGUAAAGGUGGGAACUCUAAGGAGACUGCCGGUGAUAAACCGGAGGAAGGUGGGGAUGAGGUCAAGUCAUCAUGGCCUUUAUGGGUAGGGCCACACACGUGCUACAAUGGUUGUUACAAAGGGAAGCGAACCUGCGAAGGGGAGCAAAUCUCAAAAAGGCAAUCGUAGUCCGGAUUGGAGUCUGCAACUCGACUCCAUGAAGUUGGAAUCGCUAGUAAUCGCGGAUCAGAACGCCGCGGUGAAUACGUUCCCGGGCCUUGUACACACCGCGCAUA